CUGUUAGAUAAAACGACCGUGAACCACAACACUAAGAAGUUCCGCUUUGCCCUGCCCACCGCCCACCACGUUUCUGGGGCUGCCUGUGGGCAAACAUGUCUACCUCUCUGCCCGCAUCGAUGGCAGUCUUGUCAUCAGGCCCUACACUCCCCAUCACCAGGGAUGAGGACCAAGGCUACGUGGAUCUUGUCAUCAAGGAAAGUUCAGCAAUCAGCCCAACAAGAAAUCUCCGCCGGAACCCCGAGUGGCCAGGAAACUGGGAAUGAUUGCCAGAGGCACAGGGAUCACCCCGAUGCUGCAACUGAUUUGGGCCAUCCUGAAAGACCCAGAAGAUCCAACCCAGUGCUUUCUGCUUUUUGCCAACCAGGCUGCUUUGCUUUUCUCAGUCCCAGGACUUCAGAGUUACUGUGUGGGGAGGGCUGAGGAGUGUGGUACCAGCAGGCAGAACUGGCCCAGUUCCUGUUCCAGCCUCUGCCCAAGUCCCCCUGCAAGGUGGAGGACUCUCUACCGCAAUACAGAAGACAGAGCAUCAAGCCAAAUCCUUUCCCUGUCCUGAGGAGAGGAAAAAAGAAAACACUGGUUUCUGCAGAAGCCGCCUAUGUGGCUACCCCCAUAGCCAUGUUCCAGGCAGCCAUGACUCUUCUAAAUGAUGCCUCUGAUCUUCCUAAGGUAGGUGGAAUCUUCACUCCUGGAGCAGCCUUCUGCAGAACAAAGUGAACAAAGUUGAUCAAAAGACUCAACCAAUGUGGUCUUGAAUUUAGCGUCAUUAGCAGCUUUGAAGUUUAAACAGGUGAAUAUUUAACUGAAGUCAUAAAGUGCAUGAAUUACAAGCUUUUUAAUUUGGUAUUUGAAAUUCUGUAAGUCUCCUUGACUCUAUGUGGAAGAGAUUGUCAAUCUAAAAUAAGUGCGCCAUAAAAGCAGGAAAUUGUACUAGCUUACCCUAAAUUUCAGAUCUUAGCUGAUAUGUGAUUUGGUUGCUUAUGAGAGAAAACUAGUAUUUGACUGACUUUUUCAUUGAAGAAUUCAUGGUCAGUUUCUAUAAGGAAGCUGGUAGAUCCAAGGGUGGGAUGGGUGGCUGUGUGUUGCUGACACAUCCCUUGAUGAAACACCCAGUUUGUGGUCAUAUCAGGCAGUAACUGCUGUUUUUCUUGCUGUACUAAUGAAUGGGAUCUCACUUUCCUAUGAGUUUGACUGCAAAGUGUAGGCCUUUGCUAUUUUAGCCUAGUUUUUCACCUAUAUAUGCUGACUGAUUUUGGACUCUUACCGAAGUUGAAUAAUAAAGGAUUAGCAAUUAAA